rnacentral:misc_RNA from 1 species
UACGAAGGGGGCUAGCGUUGUUCGGAAUUACUGGGCGUAAAGCGCGCGUAGGCGGGUGAUUAAGUCAGGGGUGAAAUGCCGAGGCUCAACCUCGGAACUGCCUUUGAUACUGGUCGCCUGGAGUUCGGGAGAGGUAAGUGGAAUUCCGAGUGUAGAGGUGAAAUUCGUAGAUAUUCGGAGGAACACCAGAAGCGAAGGCGGCUUACUGGCCCGAUACUGACGCUGAGGCGCGAAAGCGUGGGGAGCAAACAGG